rnacentral:rRNA from 1 species
UACGGGGGGGGCAAGCGUUGUCCGGAUUCAUUGGGCGUAAAGAGCGUGUAGGCGGCCAGGUAGGUCGGUUGUGAAAACUGGAGGCUCAACCUUCAGAGGUCGAUCGAAACCAUCUGGCUAGAGUCCGGGAGAGGAGAGUGGAAUUCCUGGUGUAGCGGUGAAAUGCGCAGAUAUCAGGAAGAACACCCGUGGCGAAAGCGGCUCUCUGGAACGGUACUGACGCUGAGACGCGAAAGCGUGGGGAGCGAACAGG